rnacentral:tRNA from 1 species
GGAGAGGUAUCGAAGUGGUCAUAACGAGGCGGUCUUGAAAACCGUUUGUCUGAAUAAGGCACGUGGGUUCGAAUCCCACCCUCUCCG